UUAGGCUUAAAACAGUGUUUUUAAUUUUUUCUUUUUUGAGUGGGCGGCGCCCAUAUGGGCACCAAGACUGGACGGGCACCUGUGAGUAAAACAAGGAAGUGUGUGAAGUUUACUUUUUUUUAACUACCUUUUGUUCAACGAUGAAGGGAUCUGAGACUUGUAAUACUGUUUACUGAUUUGGUAAGUACCGUUUAAAAACAGUUGUUAAUGAAGUUCUCUAAUAUAUUUGAAACUUUCAAUGAAAUAUGUCGUUUUUACCCGGAAGUGAAUCCAAAACAUACCGAGAGAAAUUUAUUAAAUUUAUCUUGUGGCCACUAAACACAGAUGAUUUCACUAUGCCUGUGUAUUUGAUAUAAAAUGGCCAGUUGGGUUAUCACAAAGAUUAUUGAAGGCAGGCAGCUUCUCACUCGAGGUGACCAGGAUUCAUCAAAUUAGUUCAUUGUCCAAAGUAAGCAUUAUUAUGGAAAGGAAGUGUCUAGUCGUCCGGUAACUAGCCUGCGUUCUAGUCGUCCGGUUACAAACUCAGGGGAUUUUCUAGCCGUCCGGUAAUAGAUUUCCUAAUGAAUAAGUUAUGAUUUUAUUUAGUUUUAAUGUUAUUUACUUAUGAUAUCGAUACUGAUCUGCAAACAAAAUUUUAGGUGAAUACAUAGUAAAGAUUUACAAUAAAUAAAUGCAUUAUUCAGCCGAUAAAUCGAAAGUUUGCCGAAAUCGAUUAUGGCGAGAUCGCCGUGACGUCACACAUUAAAAUCUGUUCAUCUGAUAGCUUUAAUAGGAUGGAAUGUUUAAAUUUUACCAAUUUUUUCAACGUUUUUUUUUUUUUUUUUUUUUCAAAAUUAAAACAGUUUUGAAAUACUUUAAAUUUUCAUAUUUUAAUAUUCAAAUUUUUUUAAUGAUUAACUGUUUUAAAUGACAUUUAAUUUCAAUAGCGGCAGUGUGAUGUUAUUUUUUUUUAUAGAACAACAGUAAUUAAGCAUUCAUAUUUAAUCCAUUUUAGUUCGAUAUAAUAAUAAUCAAAAGUAAUUAUUUAAUUAAUUGCUUGAUUUAUAAGCUUUCCAUUCUUCAUAUUUGUGUCUUAAGAAUUAAAGUUUAGGCAGUUAGAAAAACAUCACUUUUUACAAAUAAUAUGGACGUUCGCUGAUCAAUCAUUCAAUGUUUUAUCAUUUCGUAAAAUAGAAUAUCAACGGAUUUGUAUACAAACAGGAUCUCAUUCGUUAUAUCAACUAAAAUCAGGUAAGUAUUGAUAUCUUAAGUGAAUAACAUUUAAAACUUCAUAAAAUCAUUACUUAUUCAUUAAGAAAUUAAUUACCAGACGACUAGAAAAUCCCCUGAGGAUUUGCUAGCCGUCCGGUAUCCGGACGACUAGAACGUAGGCUAGUCGUCCGGAUACCGGACGACUAGACACUUCCUUAUGGAAAAUACAAUAUACAUGUAGCAAUGAUAAAUAAUAAAUUUGAUGCAGACUUAUAGAUGCCUGCCUGUGUCACAUCAUUUCUCGAAAAGUCCCCUCUCAAGUAGUAGCCAAGGUAUUUUAAAAGGAAAUAUGCAGAUGUUCGGUAACCGGACGCCUACCCUGCAUUCUAGCUGUCUGGCAACAAUACGACUAGCCUCUCUGCGAAUGUUUUUCUAGCUGUUCGGCGAUCUUUUUAUAUAUGAAUACUGUAAAGAAAUAAAUUUAUUGUAUCAUUUUUGGCAUAGGUUUGAAUAUUCACCUGCAAGGCGUAUACAAUAUUUUAAAAUUGAUUACCGGACACCUAGAAAACCCCUAUAGGAAAGAAAUUUGGAUAGGCUAGGCGUCCUGUUACCGGUUGGCUAGAACACCGGCUAGGUUUCUGGUUACCGGAUGUCUAGACACUUCCAUUUAUAAAAUGGUAACUGUUUUUGCUGUGGGUCUCAUAAGUCAUGUUAUUUCUGUCUGGUGACUACUCUCUUUUUCUAUUAUUGUUGAUUCAGAAUGUUUUGUACAGGAUGAUUUUUUUUUUGGAUGGUGGGAAUUUAUGCCAUAUAAUGAAAAUCUUUUUAAUUUUGAAAUUUUUGAGCCUUGCUGUGUGUAAAACAAUUUAAUAUGAUCCUGUAAAAAAUAGAUUCAUAGUAUAAUAACUUUUAUAGUAUUUUGUGGUAAGUUAAUGAAACCUUUCACAAUCACAUUAUUAAUUUAGUAUUCAUGAAGUUUUUGAUUUUAGUGAUGUUUACAGUACAUAUAAUGUAUCUUCUUUAAGAUGAUAUUCCUUGUUCCUUUGACGAUUCAUUCCACUAUACAGCUGGUUCAUAUACCCUACAACAGCCAGGAAAUUGGUCUGUUUACUUUAAGAUCCCAAGAAAUUGUAACAUAUUUUGGAUGUGCUUUGAGGAAUCAGGAAUGCAAGUGUUUCCUCUUGUUUAUGAAGCAACUCAGUUGGUUAAGGGGCAGACAACUUGUGAGCAUGGUACCUCACUACCUGUAUUGGUAUUCCAUUUUGACAAUGUUGCUAGCUAGAAUAGAAAUAACAUCUUGCUGUGGUACAGUCUGUGGAGACUUUUACUAGGAUAUCACAGAUUGAUUGAAUAUUCAACAAUGAUCACAGACCAUGUAAAGUUUGAAUCUGACUUGCACUUUUGAAUUUAGAAGAAUCUGUGGAGGAGGGUGAAUGCUGAGACCUUUAAUAAUACAUGAUAUUGCUGACACAGUGUGUCAGUCAUCAAAGAAAGGCCAUAACACUGCACAGUUGGUCAGCAAUGAUUUAAGUCCUGUCAUAUUCUACCAGUGGAGAAAUAUCUUAUCACAAUAUUUUAAACUUUUGAAGAAGAUAACCAAGUAUUACCACUUUAUCAUGUCUGCAGAAACACCUGGAUUGUUAGUGUUAAAAGUGACUGUCCAGUUAACUAACUAAAAUCUACAUCCCAUUGCCAAACGAAUAUUAUUGACAUGGAAUGACACAAGCCUGACAAUGGUACCUGUAUGAACUCAUAAGAGAAUAGUAUUUGUCUGAAAAGUCAAAGAAUUCUGUUUGUCCCAAACCACUUCAACUGAAAUUAUGAUUGGCGAGGAUUUUUCUGAGAACUGAAAAAAGGAAGUGAAUGUAAAAGAUAGAAAUUGUUGUUGAAUUCAAACGUUUUAAUACACAACACUUUAGCCUGUUUUGCUGUUCAUAUAGAUGUGUUUAGCUGUUAAGGUUAAACAUCAAGUAAAGGUUGUAGUUUCAGUUACCUACAUUAAAGUAUUGGCUGGAAAUAAAUAUUUACUUUUCA